GAGAGUCCCGCCAAGGAGCGGCUCGGACAGGCUGCCCCAAGCCAGCUGCCAGCGCGGGGAACGGUCCCGCCAGCCCUCAGGCGCCCCAGGCCGGCGUGGGCGUGUGAACAGAAUCCUGGCCUUUGAAACGGAGCCACCAGGAGCGAGCGCACAGCGGCUGCCUAGGCUGCGGGGAGGACCAGGCCCCGGGGAAGCUGUAGGCAAGUCACGUGCAAAUACAGUUGAGAGCCAUGCCUGCCUGCUAAAGGACCUUGUGAAGGGAACUCCCAAUAUUGAGAGGUUCUCCUGGCUCGUCAGCGAUCACCACUAGUCCCUCUUCGUGCAAGGCUGAAAUAAUAUUAAGUUGUAACCUUUUCCAGGCUGUUGCAAGGAAAACGAGACUGUUUUGAGAUUAAAUACUAAGAAUACUACAGAACCGAUAUUAUUUAUUAUAUUAUUAUGUAUUAUUAAUAUUCAUCUUUUGUAUGUAAGUGCAUCUCCAUGGUAGCAUUUUCGUUCUUGCAGAGGGAGUUUAUUCAGUCGAAAAUUGUCUUGUAGCCGUCUGCAGUGACAUUACGGAAAGUUACAGAGCCCACAGUUCACCGACCCCCUCACCCCUCAAUUGCAUUAAAACAACCCAACCCAGCCGCCCAAACCUCCCCCCUGUAAUGAGAAACUCAUCCCUUCCACAGAGGCUGCAGCCUGCGGCCAUCCGACCUUCCC